GUCCACGCUGUAAACGAUGAGUACUAGGUGUUGCGGGUAUUAAUCCCUGCAGUGCCGACGCUAACGCAUUAAGUACUCCGCCUGGGAAGUACGGCCGCAAGGCUAAAACUCAAAGGAAUUGACGGGGGCCCGCACAAGCGGUGGAGUAUGUGGUUUAAUUCGACGCAACGCGAAGAACCUUACCCAGGCUUGACAUCGAUGGAACCCUCUUGAAAGAGAGGGGUACUUCGCAAGAAGACCUGAAUACAGGUGCUGCAUGGCUGUCGU
rnacentral:rRNA from 1 species